rnacentral:rRNA from 1 species
UACGUAGGCAGCGAGCGUUGUUCGGAAUUACUGGGCGUAAAGAGUGUGUAGGCGGUGCUCUAAGUUCGGUGUGAAAUCUCCCGGCUUAACUGGGAGGUGCGCCGGAAACUGGAAUGCUCGAACGUGGGAGAGGAAAGCGGAAUUCCUGGUGUAGCGGUGAAAUGCGUAGAUAUCAGGAGGAACACCUGCGGUGUAGACGGCUUUCUGGACCAUUGUUGACGCUGAGGUGCGAAAGCGUGGGGAGCAAACAGG